rnacentral:rRNA from 1 species
AAUGAACGUUGGCGGCGUGGAUUAGGCAUGCAAGUCGCGCGGACCAGCAAUGGUUAGCGGCGAAAGGGAGAGUAACGCGUGGGUUAUCUGCCUCUUGGACCGGGAUAGCUGCGGGAACCUGCAGGUAAUACCGGAUAACGUCUUUGGACCAAAGGUGUGAUUCCGCCGAGAGAUGAGCCCGCGUCCUAUUAGCUAGUUGGCGAGGUAAUGGCUCACCAAGGCUUAGAUGGGUAGGGGGUGUGGGAGCACGACCCCCCUCACUGGGACUGAGACACUGCCCAGACACCUACGGGUUGCUGCAGUCGAGGAUCUUCGGCAAUGGGCGAAAGCCUGACCGAGCGACGCCGCGUGUGGGAUGAAGGCCUUCGGGUUGUAAACCACUGUCGUAGAGGAGGAAAUUCUGGGGGGUUCUCCCCUCGGUUUGACCUAUUCUAGGAGGAAGUCAGGGCUAAGUUCGUGCCAGCCGCCGCAGUAA